rnacentral:rRNA from 1 species
CGAUUCGCCCUUCGGGGUGCCGCGGCGUCGAUUUCUUUAUCAUGCUUGCAACGGUAAUCCCGGAGCCUCAAAUGUCAGGUUACUACUGUGGCUGUGGUGAUGCCUAAAAAGCAUUGCAUAGCAAGGGCCGGGCAAGACCGGUGCCAGACCGCCGCGGUAACACCGGCGGCUCGAGUGGUAACCGUUAUUAUUGGGUCUAAAGGGUCUGUAGCCGGCCGGAUAAGUCUCUUGGGAAAUCUGGCAGCUUAACUGAUCAGGCUUUCAGGAGAUACUGUCUGGCUCGAGGCCGGGAGAGGUGAGAGGUACUUCAGGGGUAGGGGUGAAAUCUUGUAAUCCUUGAAGGACCACCAGUGGAGAAGGCGUCUCACCAGAACGGACCUGACGGCAAGGGACGAAAGCUAGGGGCACGAACCGGAUUAUAUACCCGGGUAGUCCUAGCCGUAAACGAUACUCGCUAGGUGUCGGCCACGGUGCGACCGUGGUCGGUGCCGUAUGGAAGCCGUGAAUCGAACCACCUGGGAAGUACGGCCGCAAGGCUGAAACUUAAAGGAAUUGGCGGGGGAGCAC